UACGGGGGGAGCAAGCGUUGUUCGGAUUUACUGGGCGUAAAGGGCGCGUAGGCGGCCACUGCAAGUCGGUUGUGAAAUCUCCGGGCUUAACCCGGAAAGGUCAAUCGAUACUGCAGGGCUAGAGUGCAGAAGGGGCAACUGGAAUUCUCGGUGUAGCGGUGAAAUGCGUAGAUAUCUGGAGGAACACCGGUGGCGAAGGCGGCAUCCUGGACCAACACUGACGCUGAGUGAGCGAAAGCCAGGGGAGCAAACGGG
rnacentral:rRNA from 1 species